GGCGGUGUAGCUCAGUUGGUUAGAGCAGCGGAAUCAUAAUCCGCGUGUCACAGGUUCGAGUCCUGUCACCGCUA
rnacentral:tRNA from 2 species